AUAUCGAAUCGCCAUCUAACUCAUCUGGUAGGCUCUGCCUGCC
rnacentral:rRNA from 1 species